rnacentral:rRNA from 1 species
AGCGGCGGACGGGUGAGUAAUGCCUGGGAAUAUGCCCUGAUGUGGGGGAUAACCAUUGGAAACGAUGGCUAAUACCGCAUAAUCUCUUCGGAGCAAAGAGGGGGACCUUCGGGCCUCUCGCGUCAGGAUUAGCCCAGGUGGGAUUAGCUAGUUGGUGGGGUAACGGCUCACCAAGGCGACGAUCCCUAGCUGGUCUGAGAGGAUGAUCAGCCACACUGGAACUGAGACACGGUCCAGACUCCUACGGGAGGCAGCAGUGGGGAAUAUUGCACAAUGGGGGAAACCCUGAUGCAGCCAUGCCGCGUGUGUGAAGAAGGCCUUCGGGUUGUAAAGCACUUUCAGCAGUGAGGAAGGGGUUAUCGUUAAUAGCGGUAAUCUUUGACGUUAGCUGCAGAAGAAGCACCGGCUAACUCCGUGCCAGCAGCCGCGGUAAUACGGAGGGUGCGAGCGUUAAUCGGAAUUACUGGGCGUAAAGCGCAUGCAGGCGGUCUGUUAAGCAAGAUGUGAAAGCCCGGGGCUCAACCUCGGAACAGCAUUUUGAACUGGCAGACUAGAGUCUUGUAGAGGGGGGUAGAAUUUCAGGUGUAGCGGUGAAAUGCGUAGAGAUCUGAAGGAAUACCGGUGGCGAAGGCGGCCCCCUGGACAAAGACUGA